rnacentral:rRNA from 1 species
UACGUAGGAGACGAGCGUUGUCCGGAGUUACUGGGCGUAAAGGGUGCGCAGGUGGCGGCGCGCGUGGGGGGUGAAAUCGCCCGGCUUAACUGGGCGGGGGCCUUCCAGACGGCGUGGCUUGAGCAGCGGAGGGGGACGUGGAAUUCCGGGUGGAGCGGUGAAAUGCGUAGAGAUCCGGAGGAACACCGACGGCGCAGGCAGCGUCCUGGCCGCUUACUGACACUGAGGCACGAAAGCGUGGGGAGCAAACAGG